rnacentral:rRNA from 1 species
AACGAACGCUGGCGGCAGGCCUAACACAUGCAAGUCGAACGCCCUAGCAAUAGGGAGUGGCGCACGGGUGAGUAACGCGUGGGAACGUGCCUUUCAGUCUGGAAUAACAGCGGGAAACUGCUGCUAAUACCGGAUAUUCUCUACGGAGGAAAGAUUUAUCGCUGAAAGAUCGGCCCGCGUAAGAUUAGGUAGUUGGUAGGGUAAUGGCCUACCAAGCCUACGAUCUUUAGCUGGUCUGAGAGGAUGAUCAGCCACACUGGAACUGAGACACGGUCCAGACUCCUACGGGAGGCGGCAGUGGGGGAUAUUGGACAAUGGGCGCAAGCCUGAUCCAGCCAUGCCGCGUGAGUGACGAAGGCCUUAGGGUUGUAAAGCUCUUUUAUCAGGGACGAUGAUGACGGUACCUGAAGAAUAAGACACGGCUAACUUCGUGCCAGCCGCCGCAGUAA